ACUCCUGCGGGAGGCAGCAGUGGGGAAUCUUGCGCAAUGGGCGAAAGCCUGACGCAGCCAUGCCGCGUGAAUGAUGAAGGUCUUAGGAUUGUAAAAUUCUUUCACCGGGGACGAUAAUGACGGUACCCGGAGAAGAAGCCCCGGCUAACUUCGUGCCAGCAGCCGCGGUAAUACGAAGGGGGCUAGCGUUGCUCGGAAUUACUGGGCGUAAAGGGAGCGUAGGCGGACAUUUAAGUCAGGGGUGAAAUCCCGGGGCUCAACCUCGGAAUUGCCUUUGAUACUGGGUGUCUUGAGUAUGAGAGAGGUGUGUGGAACUCCGAGUGUAGAGGUGAAAUUCGUAGAUAUUCGGAAGAACACCAGUGGCGAAGGCGACACACUGGCUCAUUACUGACGCUGAGGCUCGAAAGCGUGGGGAGCAAACAGGAUUAGAUACCCUAGUAGUCCC
rnacentral:rRNA from 1 species